UUUCCGUAGGUGAACCUGCGGAAGGAUCAUUAAUAAAUGGUCUACGUUUUUUAAGUAGACGCUUAAUAAUCCUACCUUUGUGAAUUUGUUGUUUGAAAUAAUUUUUUUUAAAUUAUUGAUUGUCUUUCCCUGUUGAAUUGGUUGUCUUAGUGGCAAAUGAUUCGCAGGGAGUGUCAGUAAUUUUUAAAAAGACCUUUUUUAAAAUUAAACUUUUGUAUUCAUUUGUCUAAAAUUAUUUUAUAAUAUAAAAACAACUUUGACAAUGGAUCUCUUGGUUCUCGCAACGAUGAAGAACGCAGCAAAAUGCGAUAAGUAGUGUGAAUUGCAGAAUACGUGAAUCAUCGAAUCUUCGAACGCAUAUUGCACUUUUUAGUUUACUAAAAAGUAUGUCUGUUGAGUAUCAGUAAAAUAUUCUCAUAAAAACUUUUUGUUUUUAUGGUUAUGAGUGUUUUACAACGAUACAAGUUGUUUCACUUUAAAUUUUUUUUAAAAUUUGAAUUUUCUAAUUUUAAAAUAAAAUUGGAUAAAAUUUUCCCGUAAAAAAGGAAUAACCUAAACAAUUUUAAUUUUGAUUAGAAUUCUUCAAUUAUAAAGGAAAAUUUAACUAAAUAACUUGAUCUCAAAUCAGAUAGAGUACCCGCUGAACUUAAGCAUAUCAAUAAGCGGAGGAAAAGAAACUAACAAGGAUUCCCUUAGUAACGGCGAGUGAAGCGGGAAGAGCUCAAAUUUGAAAUCUUCAAGGUUUACCUUGACGAAUUGUAGUUUAAAGAAGUGUUUUCUGUUGAAGUUUUGGUAAAGUUCUUUGGAAUAGGACAUCAUAGAGGGUGAGAAUCCGUAUUUGACCAUUAUUUUCAGCUGUGUGAUACACUUUCAAAGAGUCGGAUUGUUUGGGAAUGCAGUCCAAAAUGGGUGGUAAAUUUCAUCUAAAGCUAAAUAUUGGCGAGAGACCGAUAGCGAACAAGUACCGUGAGGAAAGAUGAAAGAACUUUGAGAAGAGAGUUAACAGUACGUGAAAUUGUCAAAAGGGAAGCGUUUGACACCAGUGUGUUUUCUCGAAAAUCAAUUAAAAAAAGUUGGAUUUGUGUUGUAUUGACCUUAACAGCUUGCUUCACUCUUUUCUUGCUUUUUUUAAUGCACUUUUCGUUUAACAAGUCAACAUCAGUUUCUUUGUUGUAAAAGGGUCAUUGGAAGGUGGCUUUCUCUUCGGAGAAAGUGUUUAUAGCCUUCGAUCUCUGCAAUCGGAGAGACUGAGGUCUGCAGCGUAGAUCCUUCGGGUAGAUACAUUUGUGCUAAGCUACAGCUUUCAUAGACAACUUGUUGACUAUGUUAGUCUUGUAACUUACCCGCUUAUGCUAUU
rnacentral:misc_RNA from 1 species